CACGUAGGGAGCAAGCGUUGUCCGGAUUUAUUGGGCGCAAAGAGCUCGUAGGCUGUUCGAUAAGUCGGGUGUGAAACCUCCAGGCUCAACCUGGAGACGCCACCCGAUACUGUCAUGACUAGAGUCCGGUAGGGGAGCGUGGAAUUCCUGGUGUAGCGGUGAAAUGCGCAGAUAUCAGGAGGAACACCGAUGGCGAAGGCAGCUCACUGGGACGGUACUGACGCUGAGACGCGAAAGCGUGGGGAGCAAACAGG
rnacentral:rRNA from 1 species